GAGAUCAUGGCCAGCUGUCAACCACAUCCCCAGGUUGAGUACUAGAGCCCCCAGCCUAGCACCUCGGGGUACUCCCUCCCGGAGAUGGUGGAUGUUGAAGUGCCAGGACCAUCAGCCCCUUGGGUAGAUCUCAGCCCCCCACAUAGGUCCUUUUGUUGGAAAGGGACGACGGAGUGGUCAGAGGAAUCUGAGGAGGAGCCGGGGGAGGAGCCAGAGAAGUCACACGCCCCUGAGCAUCCGGAGACCUGGGUGGUGGAGACGCUCCACGGGCUCAAGAUGAGGCUGAAGCGGCGGCGAGUGUCGCCCGUGCUCCCUGAACACCACGAGGCCUUCAACAGGCUGCUAGAGGAUCCUGUCGUGAAAAGAUUCCUGGCCUGGGACAAAGAUCUGAGGGUAUCCGACAAGUACCUGCUGGCCAUGGUCAUAGCGUAUUUUAGCCGCGCCGGCCUCUUCUCCUGGCAGUACCAACGCAUUCAUUUCUUCCUGGCUCUCUACCUGGCCAAUGACAUGGAGGAGGAUAACCAGGCCCCCAAACAAGACAUCUUCUACUUCCUGUAUGGGAAGAACCACUCCCAGCGACCCUUGUUCCACAAGCUUCGACUCCAGCUCGUUUGUUCCAUGAGCUGGAGGACUCGGGUUUCCCCGGAGGAGCUGGAGGAGAUCCAGGCUUAUGACCCAGAGCACUGGGUGUGGGCUCGAGAUCGCACCCUCCUUUCCUAGAGCUCCAGGGACCGUGGAGGCCUGAGGUCAUUGGCCUGAGGGAAGAACACCAGGCCCAGCCAGGGGAGCUGUGGAUUUUCAGCAGCAGGUUUACUCCAAUGCUGAUGGCAGACAGACACCAUUAAGGACGAGAGCAGCCAUUUCUGCAGAUCAUCUAGAAGAACCUGGACUGUUCUAGAAGGAGCUGAAUAGAGUGAUCACGCUGUCCUCCUAGGAAUGGGGGGAUGGGGAGACGGUACUUCUAGGAGUCCACGGAGGACAGUGAGAAACCAGGGGUGUUUCUGGUUCCACCCCUUCCUGCGGCGCCACCUCCCUUUUUAUGUUGCUGAAUUCCAGCCUCUCUGGGGAGGAAGCUGGAGGUCUUGUUUCCUACGGACUUGGACGCCACAGUCCAGGAGCAUUUGAAGGCACAGUGCAGGUGCUCAGAUUGGCACGGAAUUAUUUGUAAAAUAUGACUGCCAUAGGAUUGUAACAGAUAGCUUCAUGCAUACUACACAUUUUAUUGGUUGGUUUGGAAAAUGUUGGCCAUCGAAUUAUUAGUAUGCUUCUUUCAAAUAGUUUGGAAA